CACCACUCAAGCCUAGCUUGGUAUUGGGCGCCGCGGCGAUCUCCAUCGCUGCGCGCCUUAAAGUCUCCGGCUGAGCAGUCUGUCUCCGAGCGUUGUGACACAUGUCGCUAGGGAGUGCAGGUCUGCCGCGGCCGUUAAACCUCUUUCAUUAA
rnacentral:misc_RNA from 1 species